rnacentral:misc_RNA from 1 species
GUAUUUCUUCGAUACGAUAUAAUAUAUCAGGCAAACACUUUGCACUAUCCCCCCCCCCUCAUUCAUUUUUGGUUGCGAUCGUUUGUUUGAAGAUGCAGAAAACACCUUGUGCAUACAGCGCUCAAUGAUGAUCCCUCCGCAGGUUCACCUACGGAGA